rnacentral:rRNA from 1 species
UCAAGCUGAUAAGGGCGCAGGGUGGAUGCCUUGGCACUAAGAGCCGAAGAAAGACGUGAUAAGCUGCGAAAAGCUGCGGUGAGGAGCAAAUAUCCAUUGACCCGCAGAUAUCUGAAUGGGGAAACCCGGCUGAGCAAACCUCAGUCAUCCAUACGCCAAUACAUAACGUAUGGAGGGGAACCCGGGGAACUGAAACAUCUAAGUACCCGGAGGAAGAGAAAGAAACAUCGAUUUCCUAAGUAGCGGCGAGCGAAAGGGAAAGAGCCUAAACCGGAGCGCGUGCGUUCCGGGGUCAUGGACUGCAUAAGUGAGUCAGAAGCUAGAAGAAAGGUUUUGGGAAAGCCUGCCAGAGAGAGUGAAAGCCUCGUAUUUGAAAGCGGAAGACAGCGGCAGUAUCCGGAGUACCACGAGACACGAGAAACCUUGUGGGAAGUCGGGGGGACCACCCCCCAAGGCUAAAUACUACUUAGUGACCGAUAGCGCAUAGUACUGUGAAGGAAAGGUGAAAAGAACCCCGGGAGGGGAGUGAAAGAGAACCUGAAACCCUGUGUCUACAAGCUGUGGAAGCACCCUACGAGUGCAACCGCGUACUUUUUGUAGAACGGUCCGGCGAGUUAUGUGGUGUGGCAAGGUUAAGCACGGAAAGUGUGGAGCCGAAGGGAAACCAAGUCUUAACUGGGCGAUAAAGUCACAUAACAUAGACCCGAAACCGGGUGAUCUAUCCAUGUCCAGGUUGAAGCUGCUGUAAAAGGUGGUGGAGGACCGAACGCACAUCCGUUGAAAAGGGUGGCGAUGAGGUGUGGAUAGGGGAGAAAUUCCAAUCGAACUCGGAGAUAGCUGGUUCUCCUCGAAAUAGUUUUAGGACUAGCCUGUCAGGAGUCUGCUGGAGGUAGAGCACUGAAUUUUUGCGGGGGCGUCAAAGCCUACCAAUGAAUAUCAAACUCCGAAUGCCAGCCAGAUGCUCUGAUGGAGUCAGACUGCACGAGAUAAGUUGGGUAGUCAAAAGGGAAACAGCCCAGACCACCAGCUAAGGUCCCAAAGUGCGUGUUAAGUGGAAAAGGAUGUGGGAAUUCGAAGACAACUAGGAUGUUGGCUCAGAAGCAGCCAUUCAUUCAAAGAGUGCGUAACAGCUCACUAGUCGAGAGUUCCUGCGCCGAAAAUGUCCGGGGCUAAAACACGACACCGAAGCUGUGGAAUCAUGCUUGCAUGAUUGGUAGAGGAGCAUUCGCUGAGAGACGAAGCUGUACCGAAAGGAGCAGUGGAUUUCAGUGAAGAGAGAAUGCCGGAAUGAGUAGCGAGAGAUAGGUGAGAAUCCUAUCGGCCGAAUAUCUAAGGUUUCCAGAGUAAAGCUGAUCUGCUCUGGGUAAGUCGGGGCCUAAGGCGAGGUCGAAAGACGUAGUCGAUGGAUAACAGGUAGAGAUUCCUGUACUUCAUAAUAUCAGAAAUGUGGGGACACAGAGGCGAAGCACAAGCCGGGAAUGGAAAGACCGGUGCAAGCUAAGGAGCAGUAUGAGAGGCAAAUCCCUCAUAUAAUGCAAGAGAGUGAAGCGUAGCGAACAUAAGGGUAGCGAAGUGUGUGGAGAAGCUGUCAGGAAAAGCCGCUAUUGUGUAUUAUGAACCCGUACCGUAAACCGACACAGGUGGAUGAGGAGAGAAUCCUAAGGCCGACGGAAGAAGCAUUGUUAAGGAAUUCGGCAAAAUGACCCCGUAACUUCGGGAGAAGGGGUGCCUGCGCAAGCAGGUCGCAGAGAAUUGGCCCAAGCAACUGUUUAGCAAAAACACAGGUUUAUGCGAAACCGAAAGGUGAAGUAUAUGAGCUGACGCCUGCCCGGUGCUGGAAGGUUAAGGGGAGUGCUUAGACUUUGGUCGAAGGUGCGAACUUAAGCCCCAGUAAACGGCGGCCGUAACUAUAACGGUCCUAAGGUAGCGAAAUUCCUUGUCGGGUAAGUUCCG